UGCAAGUGUUUUUAGAUGUGUUGCUUUUCUUUGUUGCAAAAAAAAAAAAAAGACUGAUGUGACUUAAAAGUAUUCAUUCAUUACUGCUUUCCUUUUCUGAACUAUAAUAUUGUAUUUGCUGAUUUAGUUCAUGUUUUUUCACUGCCACAAUUAGGCAUAUACAUGUAGUCCAAUAAAAGGAAAUUUUCAGUGUCACGAAUAAAUGAAUACUGGCUCCAUCACUUGUAAAAUUAAGAUAAACUUCAAAACAUGGCACACAAAUUAAGUAAGACCAUGCAGGAAAAACACUUGGUGCUAGUAACAGUUCAAUAUAUGCCAGUUUCCCUCUUUUUUUCCCCAACUGCAUUAGUCUCUUUUUAUUCUUUAAGUAAUCUCUUCCAGAGUUAACUACUUCCGUUUGUAGGUGACGAAUGUGUAAGGAAUCCACUUCAAGUGCUGGCACUGCUAUGAGCAUGGUCUUUCCCUUUACCUCAACUCAAUCACUUUUGAUUCUUGUUUGUAUUUCCAAGCCCCGAAGUAGUUUUCACUGCAGAAGUUAUCUGAAGACAGUUUUGUGCUUUCUAGCAGUGGUCUAACACCGGGGUCUAGCUUCUCCAGGAACACUACACAGGAUGGAGUUAGAUAUGUAUUAAACUAAGAGGCAUUCUCUCAGAUGAAUUUAAAUGCAUUUUAUCUUCAGACAACCUACACAUGUUUUUUUCUCAAAAACAAUGCCUCCACUCCAAGCAAAUCACCAUCAAAAUAAAUGAAGCUCAAGAUGGCAUCAGUUCCAUUUGUCUUUUAAGUCCUGGUGUUGUGUGGAUGAAAGCAGCAGCCAGCCAGUUAUGACGACAGGUGAUAGAGCCGAAGUAACAGCCAAAUUUAGAUCGGAAGAGCCUCGUGUA